rnacentral:rRNA from 1 species
AGAUGUUGGGUUAAGUCCCGCAACGAGCGCAACCCUUGUCCUUAGUUGCCAUCAGGUUAUGCUUGGGCCACUUCUUACGGAAGACUGCCGGUGAUAACCGAAGAAGGUGGGAAUGACGUCAAGUCAUCAUGGCCCUUACGUCCCGGGCUACACACGUGCUACAAUGGCUUGGUACAGAGGGUAGCAAGACCGCGAAGUGGAGCGAAUCCCAUAAAGCCAGUCUCAGUUCGGAUUGCAGUCUGCAACUCGACUGCAUGAAGUCGGAAUCGCUAGUAAUCGCGAAUCAGCAGGUCGCGGUGAAUACGUUCCCGGGCCUUGUACACACCGCCCGUCAAGUCAACCGAGUUGAGUGCACCCGAAGUCGCUGUACCAACCCUUUGGGAGGAAGGCGCCGAAGGUGUGCUUGAUGAGAGGGACUAAGUCGUAACAAGGUAACC